GAGAUGAAAUAAAAUAUUUAUUAGGAGCAAAAUAAAGUUUAUACAACUCCAGAAAUAGAAAAUUAAAAUAUAAAACCAUUGGCCCUUUGUUAGGGCUGCAUCCAGCCCUAAAGAGGAAAUCAGCCUUCCAUGGAGAAUUGCACAGCCGCAGUAGUGGAGAAGGCUUCCAUCGCGACCAGCUCUUUUUUCUUUCUUCCUCCGGCGACUCCCAUGGAAAACUCCCUCUCAGCACUUCAUUUUUUAUAUGGGAAUUUAUUCCUGAAAUGCUCAAACUGUUCUCUCUCCUUCCUGAACUUUGUGGGACUCGGCUUCUCCAGCGAAGAGAUCCACCCUGGUGGGGAAGAGGAGGAAUUGCCUUCUCGAUUCACGCUGGGCCUUUUAUAGGCUGCAACUCCCUCUAGCUCCUCUGUCCAAGUUGAGAUAAAGAUGGAUCAACGGCUGCCAACUCCCCCUAGCUCCUCCUUCCGAGUGCAGGAUAAGGAUGAACACGCUAUGGGUAUCUUGCGGACGGCUGGAACGAGCUGGGAGUAGGUGAUGCGGAGAAGAUCUCGAAGGUGACGUGGAGAUUGGAGCUCUGUUUCGAAGCAGAGGAAGAUGUAUUUGGACGUUGGGAAGAUGAUAAGCUGGGAGCUGGUCGCGUUGAAAGAGUCGGCUUGAUUCUCGGAUGCAAGGGAUGUUGCUCAUAGCUGAGAUGAGGGAAGUCGUUGGGAGGACCUCGGAGGAAUGAAAUGGCUGGAUGCGAGCUGGGAUGUUGGGAUCUCGGCUGAUAACAGGGAGAUGAAGCUCAAUUGCAGAUGAUUCGGGAGGAUGAAGAUGAAUACGGAGACAUGGAAGUUGAAACAGGGGAUUCUUCCGUGGUCAAUUAAUCCGAAUAGGAGGAAGUUUGGAUUUGGUUGACAGUUGGGAUUUCGAAAUUUGCUGGGAGAUGGAUGGAUAUUGGCUGCUUGAUCCGAACGGGAGAAGAGAAGAUCACAAUGGGAUGAAGCUAAUCCAGACGCUGAGUUUGAGCUUAUCCGGACUCUGUUUUGAAGCAGGGAUUUAUCCGAGAUGAUGGAGUUGGGAUCACAGAAGAAGAUGCUGCCGUUGGCUUGGGCUUAUCCGUGGGAUAAGGAGGAUCUCAGUUGGUUUGGUGGAACCGUGGAGCUCGGGAUGAAGCUUGGGAUGGUUCUAUUCCGCUGGAAACAGGGAAGCUGGGAGCUGCUGGCAACGGGAUCCUCGGAUGCGGAGGGGAUGAAGCUGGAUCACGAAAAAAACUAGGAUCUUAAUACUUGGUUCCGAAACAAAGGAAGAUGUGGAGGGUGCGGCCGAGUCGGGAUGCAGGGGAUUUAGUUUGUGGACGUGAUCCGGAGAAGAGGAUAAGCUAGCGGAAGAAGAUGAAGAUGCUGGGAAGUUUGAACUUUAGGACUUGAUUUCAAAUGGGAGGAAUCACGUAAAGAUUGGGAGAAAUCCGGAAAAAGGAUGGCUUGGUUCAGAAAUCAGAAGAGAGAAGACAUGUGGAUGGGAGGAAAUCUGGGAAGAAUCCGGGUGAAGAGGAGUAUGUAAACGGGAUGAAAAAAAUUUUCGGGAGAGCGGAAUGUCGUGUGAGACUUCAUACG
rnacentral:lncRNA from 1 species